GACGAAGGAUGCAAGCGUUAUCCGGAUUCAUUGGGUUUAAAAGGGAGCGUAGGUGGCCUUAUAAGUCAGUGGUGAAAAUCUCUCGGCUUAACCGAGAAAAUUUGCCAUUGAUACUGUAGGGGCUUGAGUAUAGUUGCCGUUGGCGGAAUAUGACAUGUAGUGGUGAAAAAUACAUAGAGAUGUCAUAGAACACCGAUUUGCGAAAGGCAGCUGACGAAAACUAUAAACUGACACUGAGGCUCGAAAAAGUGCGGGGGAUCAAAACAGG
rnacentral:rRNA from 1 species